CUUAUUUUCAUUCCUUCGCUGGUUUUUUGUUUCACAAGAUGUCGCUUAGAUAUAUUGUAUAUGAUAUCAAACAGUUAAUACGCUUUUGAAACUGACACCGCGUAACAAAAACCUUUUUCUCGUAAGAGUUAUCUCCCCGAACACUGUUUUUCUUGUUAUUACUUAUAUGUCGCAACCAUAUAAGGAACCGACAAAUCUAUUUAACCAAAUUGCUCGUUAU
rnacentral:lncRNA from 1 species